CAGAGACCAGCAACGUAAAGGUUUUUGCCACAUUAUAAAGCAUUUCUUAUGCGUUAUGGUUUGUAUAUUAUAAUAUUUGUUUAUUUUCAUUUUCAUCACUAUUGAUUGAAUUGACGUUGUUUAUUAUAGCUAUGCUCCUUAAUUAUUAAAGUGUAACUCCGGCGAAAAUUGACCCCAGGGUCUUUUUCUGCAUUAAAACACAUCAAAUAAGCACCAUGGAGACAGUAUUUUCCAUUGAUCAAACCCGGUAUACGCUAUAGCAGGGCUAGACUGGUCAUUUGGCAUACCGGGCAUUGUCCAGGUGGGCUGACGCACUUUUGGGCCGAAUCGGCGAUGUAAUUAUAAUUUAGGAUAUAGGCUAUUAAAGGCCUGUCAGCGGCUCACUGGUUGCCCAUUAUCGCAAGGCUUCGUUGUACUGUCAUGUUUGGUUAAUCUAUUGUUCUAUUGGAGUUGGAGGAGCUGGUAGGGGGACAGUUGAUAAACACCCACCUUUCCUGGUCUGCGAGUAGCCUCUGACCUUGGAGCCAGGCAGCAAUUUGGGGAUGAUGAGGCAAAGUGUACUGUGAGCAGGAGAACUGCAUCUGGCGGAUCUGAGAGAGAAUCUCGUAUUCCUGCAAAGAUGGAGUGUGACAAGCACAGUCAGGCAUAUCUCCAAAGGACAAACAAGACAAGCCACUACACUCAAUUAUAUCAAUUAUUUUGUGAGAUGUACAUGAGAUAUGCAAAAUACACAUUUGAAAAAGA